GGGCUAUAGCUCAGUGUUAGAGCAUCUGCCUUGCAUGCAGAAGGACCCAAGUUCAAUCCCUCGCAUCUCCA
rnacentral:tRNA from 1 species